rnacentral:rRNA from 1 species
UACGGAGGAUCCAAGCGUUAUCCGGAUUUAUUGGGUUUAAAGGGUGCGUAGGCGGCCUGUUAAGUCAGGGGUGAAAGACGGUAGCUCAACUAUCGCAGUGCCCUUGAUACUGACGGGCUUGAAUACACUAGAGGUAGGCGGAAUGUGACAAGUAGCGGUGAAAUGCAUAGAUAUGUCACAGAACACCGAUUGCGAAGGCAGCUUACUAUGGUGUGAUUGACGCUGAGGCACGAAAAGCGUGGGGGAUCAAACAGG